rnacentral:sRNA from 1 species
UGAAAAUAUUCUAGUGGUGUUUUUAUGGU